GCCGGGCAUGGUGGCGCACGCCCGUAAUCCCAGUGUCUUGGGAGGCUGAGGCAGGAGCAUCACGGGUUCAAAGCCAGCCUCAGCAAAGCUGAGCCACUAAACAACUCAGUGAGACCCUUUCUCUA
rnacentral:sRNA from 1 species